GAGUUUGAUCCUGGCUCAGGACGAACGCUUGCGGCGUGCCUAAGAAAUGCAAGUCGAACGGACAGAGAAUUCGUUUUCUGUUAGUGGCGAACGGUCGCGUAACACGUAAGCAACCUGCCCAAAAGUGGGGGACAACAGCCCGAAAGGGCUGCUAAUACCGCAUGUGGUCUAGAUUUGGCAUCUUAUCUAGUCUAAAGCUUUAUGCGCUUUUGGAUGGGCUUGCGGCCUAUCAGCUAGUUGGUGGGGUAAUGGCCUACCAAGGCGUUGACGGGUAGCUGGUCUGAGAGGACGAUCAGCCGGAUUGGGACUGAGAUACGGCCCAGACUCCUACGGGGGGCAGCAAUUAGGAAUCUUGCGCAAUGGGGGCAACCCUGACGCAGCGACGCCGCGUGGAGGAUGACGGCCUUCGGGUUGUAAACUCCUUUUUUAGGGGAAGAAGAAUGUGACGGUACCCUAAGAAUAAGCCCCGGCUAACUACGUGCCAGCAGCCGCGGUAAUACGUAGGGGGCGAGCGUUGUCCGAAGUUACUGGGCGUAAAGCGCGCGUAGGCGGUUCUUUAAGUUUGGGGUGAAAGGUUCAGUGCUCAACGCGAACAGUGCCCUGGAGACUGGAGAACUUGAGUGUGGGAGGGGGCAGUGGAAUUCCUGGUGUAGCGGUGAAAUGCGUAGAUAUCAGGAGGAACACCGGUGGCGAAGGCGGCUGCCUGGCCUAACACUGACGCUGAGGUGCGAAAGCGUGGGGAGCGAACGGGAUUAGAUACCCCGGUAGUCCACGCCGUAAACGAUGAGUGCUAGGUGUCUGCGGUAUCGACCCCGCAGGUGCCGUCGCUAACGCAGUAAGCACUCCGCCUGGGGAGUACGGCCGCAAGGUUGAAACUCAAAGGAAUUGACGGGGGCCCGCACAAGCGGUGGAGCAUGUGGAUUAAUUCGUCACUAACCGAAGAACCUUACCCAGACUUGACAUCGCGUGUAAAACUAUGAAAGUAGUUCCCCUCCGCAAGGAGGCACAAAGACAGGUGUUGCAUGGCUGUCGUCAGCUCGUGUCGUGAGAUGUUGGGUUAAGUCCCGCAACGAGCGCAACCC
rnacentral:rRNA from 1 species